GCAUGCCUGGUGGUCCUCAGGCAGAAUACUGGAUUUGGAGGGGGCAGGCUUGAUGACAGGUGCCUCUCUGACAAGAGAGAGAGUUGUGCCUCCUGUCCAUGCAGGGUCUCUGGAGGGGUGAGGAGUUCCUAGGGCUCAGUGUUGAUGAAAGUCAGGUGUUUUUUAACGCCACAGAAGCCUUAAGUAGACCUGUGUUUCUUAGAAAGUAGUUCAGCAGCCUCCAAUACUUGUCUGAGAGGGGCAGAGGCUGUACCAGCUCUGAGUGUGAACCUUCAUGCUCAUGACCCCCACCAGUGGGCUGUGGUUUCUCUUGUCUCUGGGACUUUUCCCAGAACAUCCUGUUCCCAAGGAAAGCCUGGUCCUGGAGAACUUGAGAAAGAGUGAGAGGAGCUCCUGGCCCAGGGUUCUAGGGCAGGAAGUGGACAUUCCAGGUGUUCAGAGCCUUCUGUCUCCCAGGAAAACACAGUGAUCCUGCCCCAGAUCCAUCACCUGUCAAUGUGGGGACUCUGGACAAGUCACUGACAAUCCCUAAAUUUACAUUUGCUUAAUUAUAAAUUACAUGGAAUGGCUGCUGAGCUGCCCAUAGCUUGGGGCUGUGCUGUGGGCUGCGUGGGAAAUCAGAGAUUCUCCACGUGGAAAGCUUCCUAUCCAUGGACAGGGGAAGAGGAACUCCCACCCUAUCUGCCUCAGGGGUCAUCCAAGAACCCUCCCUGUAUGCAGCCACUACCGAGUGACACACUCGUUCUCUGACAUUUGGAGAGUGAACAAUUUCAGACAAUUAUGCAGCAUCAGCUCGGUAAAACUUCAUGUGUUUUUAAUCACCUGAGCUUGACAACACAACACAUGGACAUAGCAUUAUUUCUCUAUCUCAUAAUAGGGACCUGAGACACUGCGGGGGUGGGGGUAGGGGUGGUGCCUGCGCAACUUUCCCAGGUACAUGCAGCUUCCCUCCAGGAGCUGAACACAGACCUUCUGGUACCAGCCCCUCUGCUCUCAGCCACUGUCUUCUGAUGCCUGUCCACAGUCUCAUCUCAAGUGAGGUAUUCACCCGCACUAUCAGACUGUUGAGUAGAAGUGUUCACCACACUGCACAUCUGCCUAGUAUCCAACUCUGAUUCUGGAGGUGGCUCUGUAAUACUCAAGGUGAAAACUGGCACCAAAGUUAGAACUUCAGCCAAAUGAGCACACACUUCCCUGUGGUCUCCUGCCAGUGGGAUGUCAACAGCUGUCUGUACUGUCAUACUGUUCCAGGGUCUUGUCUCCAGAGUUUAAGAAGAAAAGCAACUCGGAAGUCAAGAAUAUCUACCGUCCGUCCUAUCGAGAAAGUCAGAAAAAUCCGUGUCUUGCCAAAGAACAGGAUGCACCCUGUGAAGGAGUCGACGAAGGCUGAUUGUUGAAUGAUUGUCAUCACUGAGCAACAUCCCAUCUUUGACGGUCCUCCCAGUAUUAGAGGACUUCUUAGUGGCUUCUGAUUUCAGCAAGCAGGAAGAAGGCCACCUGGAGCAUUCCUGUGGCAGGUUCUGUGAGGACAUUAUUCUUAACGUUAACUGGGAACACUGGUCAGAUGAGAACAGGCCCACCCUACUCCAGUAUGAACUCAACCUAAGUGACUCAACCUCCAGUGACUUCGUGGCCAGCGAAGGUCCUCUUCCCAGGUCCUGCUGUGACGACAUGACGAUAUGAUAACAUAUCUGGCAGGGGAGCACGACGGAUCCCACGCUGGUGUUGUUCUCUGCCACUCUGCCUUCACUUGUCCCCUCCUACUGGGCCUGGCAGUAACUUGUGAUGUGGUGUUGAAGUCUUCAAUGAUAACCGUGAACUGGUCUGCCUUUCUGCUCCAUUAAUUUUGGCCUCAAGGAUUUUGACGCUCUGUUGUAGGCACAUGCACAGUAAAGAUUGCUGUAGACAGUUGGAGAGCGUCUGCCUUGAUUGUUCCUGGACGGGCGUAUUUGCUGCUCCACUGUCAUUCACUGCUGUUGCAUGAACACCCUGUUGGCAGUGAGAAGGGAAGCAUUAUGUCAUAUUAUGCUCUAUCUCAGUUUUUUGUCUACCGGAGAAUAAUUCACACUGGGAGCUUUCCCAUCCGACUAUUUCCAGUUGCAAUUUCCCCCUAACCUGAGCCCACAGUGGACUUCCUCUGACCUUCAGCAUGAGAAUGGUGGACUCGUGGAGCACACUCCUGUGAGAGUGUGGUGGCCCCGUGAGACUGGACCCUGCGGGUGCUCACUGGGAAGCAGGUGCACACACAGCCUCUGCAGGCCAUUCCCAUGUAUGCGUUCCUGUGAGCAACUGGCUCCGUGACCCCUCUCCAGUGAGACAAUGUCGGCUGUGCCUGUCAGCUUUGCCCUCUGCAGGCAGAAACUUCAGGUGGCGGCUCGCCUGGGAACUUCCACUGUCAGGGUUCUAAGUGGAGCCUUCGGUUUCCACUUGGUUCAGACUUCUUCUUGUUGUAAGGACAGAGCUGAUGACCUUCAAGCUCUUCUGAUGUCAGUUAAGCCUGGAAGGUGGGCCCUUUCCUUUUUUUAAGAUUUAUUUAUUUAUUUGAAAGAGAAAGAGAAAGAGAGAGAGAGAGAGAGAGAGAGAGAGA